rnacentral:rRNA from 1 species
UGGGGAAUUUUGGACAAUGGGCGAAAGCCUGAUCCAGCCAUGCCGCGUGAGUGAAGAAGGCCUUCGGGUUGUAAAGCUCUUUCGGCCGGAACGAAAUCGCUCGAGCCAACACCUUGAGCGGAUGACGGUACCGGAAUAAGAAGCACCGGCUAACUACGUGCCAGCAGCCGCGGUAAUACGUAGGGUGCAGGCGUUAAUCGGAAUUACUGGGCGUAAAGCGUGCGCAGGCGGCCUCUUAAGUCAGAUGUGAAAUCCCCGGGCUCAACUCGGGAACUGCGUUUGAAACUGGGAGGCUAGAGUACGGCAGAGGGGGGUGGAAUUCCACGUGUAGCAGUGAAAUGCGUAGAUAUGUGGAGGAACACCGAUGGCGAAGGCAGCCCCCUGGGCCUGUACUGACGCUCAUGCACGAAAGCGUGGGUAGCAAACAGG